rnacentral:tRNA from 1 species
GGCGGGAUAGCUCAGUUGGUAGAGCAGAGGACUCAUAAGCCUUUGGUCGUGGGUUCGAAUCCCUCUCCCGCCACCA